CAAGAAAUCAAUGGCAGUGGUGAUUAAUAGAAAUUAAGCAAAUUUAAUAUACUUAACAAUAAUUAGCAAUGGAUUAGUGGGAUUUUAAUGAGGGUUAGCAUGAGCAUUAGAUUAGGGAUGUGGGAAAUGAUUGGAGGGGUGGAUUAGGAAUAAAGAAGCAAAAUUUCUUGGGCCGAAACCCAAGCUUCCAAGCACACCAUUCGGACCCAACACUGAUUCACCUAAAGCCCUAAUGCGAUCCAAAGGAGGAUCUCCGUCACACUCCAUGCAUCUUCUCCCGGAAAUGCUCAAAAUUUCAUCCAUGUCCGAACGCACGAACAUGUUCAUCCACAGUCGCAAGAGUCUUCGCUUCGUAGCACACACGGGCAACCAUGGAUCUAAACUCACAUCAACUCCUCACCAAGAAUUAAGGAAGAAUACUCCAGGCGUAAUCGAAAUUGAAAUCGAGUCUUCACCAUUGUUCUUGCACGGGAAUAAGUAAAGAGCGAAAGGGUUGAGAACCUACCAGUCCGACGCGGUGGCCCUCGGAUACUCCUCCUCCGAUCCUCUCCUUCGUUCGUGCGCACGUGUUACGGUUCGAUCCGUUGUUGCCGCUUCCGAUUGAUUGGAAUGAACGUUGCGAUUGGUGAAGGUGAGCGAUGCAUCGCUAUUGAUGAAGAUCUUCGAUAAAUCCCUGGUAUGCCCUUCUCAAAUCUUUUCUUUUGGUUUCUAUUUUUGGUUUCGAUCUGUGUUACGAGCUCCUUCUCAAUUUUUUCUUCUUCUGUCUUCUGCGCGGCUCCGUUAUGGUUCUGUCGUGCGAGGUCUUGAUAUGAUGGAUUGAAGAUUGUUACAGGUCCAAGAAGACGACGGCGAAGAAGUUCUAGUUGGUGGCAACAAAGUCCGACGCUCGUCAACUGUGGAGGAGGAAUCGCCGGCGAUGUCGGAAGAAGAUUGGACGGUUGUUGGUGAGAUGGAAGAUGGUGGUAGUAGGGUGAAGGAGUUGGUUUUCUGUGAGGUCGAGGGUGAAGGGUGUUAUGGAAGGUUGUGAAGAAGUGAAGAUGAAGUGAAGUUUGAAGAAUUGAAGGUGAAGUGAAGUUGACUGUGAUGGUGGAGUGUGAACUCGUUAGGGUGAGCUUUGGGUUGUGAUGGGGAUGGAAGGAAAAAGCCCCCAGGUGAAGAAUCAGUUAGCAGUUAUAUAGAGGUUGUUGAAGUUGUUAGGAAUUAGUUAGAUUCAAUGAUAGUUGGCGACAGUUGGCGACAGUUGGUGACAGUUGGCGACAGUUGGAAUUCGGUUCGAGUUGGUUAGAAGUUUGUUUUGACAGUUGUUAUGCCGCUAACCGAAUGGUUGUGGAUGUAGGUUAAUGUUUGGGUUUUAGAACCAUGGAGUCCUCUUGAACAAUGCUUGGUCAAGGAUAGCCCGGGUUUGGAUCUGUUGACAGGGUGAUGUUAUUGUAUUGUGCAGCCCAGAAUUGGAUAGUCUGAUGGUAAUUGUCUGGCAAACAAAAUGGAACAUGAAUUUUGUUGUGCAGGUUUUUGGUUGCAUUGCCGGCAUUGCCUCCUGGCUCGUGCGGUUACAGCCGGUGUCUCACGGCGGUUGGAUUGCCGGAAGGUGGCUGUUAUGCUGUCAUGGCCUUGCACUUGACGCGUUUCCAUUUUCCUGUUGCCGUCAAGCUGCGUUGUUGGCGUUGUCCAUUUCGUUGCAGCUUUUGUACUGUUGUACUUAUAGCAGUAGAAUGAGAUUCAAACGAAAUCCACUUCCAUUUAAUUAGAAAUUAUAAAGUUUGUUAGGGUGAAAUUGAAAAUGGAACUGCAAUGUAAAUGCGGAUGUUAAUUGUGAAAUUGAAAUGUGAAACUUUGUUUGUUGA